UAAAUUCUGUCUGCUGUCUUG
rnacentral:piRNA from 1 species